GUGAAUCAUCGAAUCUUUGAACGCAAAUUGCACUCUCUUCGGAGAGUAUGCCUGUUUGAGGGUCAGCCUAAAAAAAAUCGACAUAGUUUCUGUUUAGGGGUAAACUUUGUCGGGAAUUGGGUUAUCUUUAAACUUUGGGUUUAAGGGGGUUUAAAUUUUCUUUUCGGUUUCAGGGACGUUUCCAAGGAUUUAUUUUCUUUUUCGUUUUAGGUUUCGAUCUUUUUUAGACG
rnacentral:misc_RNA from 1 species